AGGUAGCAAAGGUGUAGGUUGCACGGUGAAGAAGAUUUGUUGAGUAGCUAUGUAGAAAUUUCGUCGAUGUUGCUGCUGGUUUUCGGUCAGGUUUUUCAGUGAUUCAGAAUAGAGCUUGAAAAGGAAAAAAACCGGGUUGGUUCGAAACAGGGGGAAGGGUGAGCAGUUUAAAUUUCCAGGCUAGGGGAUUGUGCCUGAGAGCGUUUUAUCAUUAAAAUAACCAAAAUAGGGGAACAUUAAUUUUGUUUUUUUUGCUCUGGAAUAUAACGAUUCCGAUUGGUAGUUAAUUUGUAGUUUUGUACUAUGUUAUUCAAUCAAUGAAAAAGCAACAGAACAUUAUUCUA